rnacentral:rRNA from 1 species
UACGAGGGGGGCGAGCGUUGUUCGGAAUUAUUGGGCGUAAAGGGUGCGUAGGCGGUUUGGUAAGUCUCGUGUGAAAUCUCCAGGCUCAACUUGGAGUCUGCACGAGAAACUGCCGGGCUUGAGUGUGGGAGAGGUGAGUGGAAUUCCUGGUGUAGCGGUGAAAUGCGUAGAUAUCAGGAGGAACACCUGUGGCGAAAGCGGCUCACUGGACCAUAACUGACGCUGAGGCACGAAAGCGUGGGGAGCAAACAGG